AUUGAACGCUGGCGGCAGGCCUAACACAUGCAAGUCGAGCGGAUGAAGGGAGCUUGCUCCUGGAUUCAGCGGCGGACGGGUGAGUAAUGCCUAGGAAUCUGCCUGGCAGUGGGGGAUAAUGUCCGGAAACGGGCGCUAAUACCGCCUACGUCCUGCGGGUGAAAGUGGGGGAUUUUCGGACCUCACGCUAUCAGAUGAGCCUAGGUCGGAUUAGCUAGUUGGUGGGGUAAAGGCCUACCAAGGCGACGAUCCGUAACUGGUCUGAGAGGAUGAUCAGUCACAUUGGAGGGGGGACACGGACCUGGCGCCUACGGUAGGCAGCAGUGGGGAAUGGUGGGCAAUGGGGGAGAACCUUGUCCAACCGUGCGACGUGUGAUGAGGAGAUCUUCUGAGUGUAAAGCACGUUAAGGUGGGGGAAAGGGCAGUAGGUUAAUACCUUGCGGGAGUGACGUUACCAACAAAAGAAGCACCGGCUAACUACGUG
rnacentral:rRNA from 1 species